rnacentral:rRNA from 4 species
AAAUUGAAGAGUUUGAUCAUGGCUCAGAUUGAACGCUGGCGGCAGGCCUAACACAUGCAAGUCGAACGGUAACAGGAAACAGCUUGCUGUUUCGCUGACGAGUGGCGGACGGGUGAGUAAUGUCUGGGAAACUGCCUGAUGGAGGGGGAUAACUACUGGAAACGGUAGCUAAUACCGCAUAA